UGAAACCCUUAGACCACCAUGCUGUGAGGAAGCCCAGUCUAGCCUACUAAGAGACAAAAGGUCCUAUGGAGGAAAAUCAAGCCAACAGCCAGAAAAAACUGUCAGACAUGAUGAACUAACCACCAUGGGUCACUUUAAGUCCUGAACUUGAGAUUUUUAUGGCUUACACAGGACCAAGGCAAGAUUUAUUGCCAUUUAUUUUGAAAGUGGAUAUGGAGGCUUAAGGAGGUUAAAGUCAUACAGAUAGAAGAGGAAAGAGGAUGAAUGCAUAGAUUUGUAAGACUUUGAAGCCCAUGUUUUCGCCUUAUACCAAAUGCCUUCAAAUGACUUGCGUUGAUAAGUGGACCUGAUUUCAACCAGGUCUACAGUGAGUAAGCAAAUUAAAGAGUUAGAGCUUGUGGGAAGCCAUGCAUGUCCAACUGCUAGAAUAGAAUCAGAAAGAGUACUAGGAUCCAGUCAUUUGCAAAAACAUGGAUGGAACUGGAGAUCAUUACGUUAAGUGAGCAAGGCACAGAAAGACAAACAUCCCAUGUUCUCACUUAUUUGUGGGAUCUAAAAAUCAAAACAAUUGAACUUAUGGACAUAGAGAGUAGAAGG